rnacentral:lncRNA from 12 species
CUUCAGAAGAUGAACCCAAAGCAGACUGUUUCUCCUCCUGCAGCAGUUGGCUGGCGCUGUUCCCUUGGAUGGGACAUGUGUUUUCUGCUCACUGGUCCUCACCAGUCUGCUUCUCUGGAAUGUGACCCUGGGUUUGAGUCACAGGUUGUGGUUGGGAUGAACUAUUUCCUGGAAGUGGAGAUGGGCCGAACCAGAUGCACCAAGUCCAAGCCCAACUUGGAGAGCUGUCCCUUUCAUGUGCACCUAGACCUGCUGAAGAAAAAGCUCUGCUCUUUCCAGAUACACAUUGUGCCCUGGAUGGGCACGACCUCCUUGGUGAAGUCCAGCUGCCAGGAUACAUAGAAGACUCUGACAAGCCCCUUCUCAUUAUCAUCCCCCCUCCUUAUAAAGCUGCUACACUUUAUAAUGGUGACCCUGCCCAGGGGUCCCCAUCGGUGUGCUAGUCCCAGGCAACAAAGAAAGGUUCUGGGGCUUUUCUGAACAGCUUAGUGGCUCUACGCACUUUCUUUUCAUUACUCUCCAAAUCACCAGAAGCAGUGUACAUGUCCUGCUCUAUGUUAAUCAAUAAAUACUAACAUCAGGCACCUU